rfam:Oryctolagus cuniculus chromosome 20, whole genome shotgun sequence.
GUGUGCAAAUGAUAACUGCUGACGAAAGAGUCAGUGACUCAGUCAGUGGUUGGAUGUAGUCACAU